GAACAACUGAAGAAAAUGUUUCACAUGCUUAUUUUGUUCUGUUUGUACUGGUGGAGUCUCACUGGUCUGUUUGGCGCUGAAACAAAUAAAAUACAGUCAGUGUCAGUGAUGGACAGAGAUUCUGUCACUUUACAGACUAGUGUAACUAAAAUACAUUACGACGAUGACAUACUGUGGAAAUUUGGCGCUGAAAAGUCUCUCAUAGCUAAAAUCAGCAUUGAGAAACAAAUCUUCUCUACAUUUGAUGGUCCUGAUGGGAGAUUCAGAGACAGACUGAAGCUGGAUCAUCAAACUGGAUCUCUGACCAUCACAAACAUCACAACUGAACAUGCUGGAAAUUAUGAACUAGAGAUAAAUGGAGCAAAAUUGACAUCAAAAACAUUUAGUGUUUCUGUCUAUGCUCGUCUGCCCACUCCUAACAUUACCAGAGAUUGCUCUUCAUCAUCAUCAUAUUGUUCAUUGAUGUGUUCAGUGGCAUAUGUGAUAGAUGUGACUCUCUCCUGGUACAAAGGAAACAGUUAAUUGUCCAGCAUCAGUGUGUCUGAUCUCAGCAUCAGUCUCUCUCUACCUCUGGAGGUGGAAUAUCAGGAUAAAAACACCUACAGCUGUGUGCUCAACAAUCCCAUCAGCAACCAGACCAGACACCUCAACAUUACUGAACUUUGUCAGCCAUGUCCAGAUCAGGGCUUACCUUUAUUUUACAUAGUGCUGAUUCCUUCUGCUGCUGGAUCUCUGUUGAUUGUGGUUUCAGUCGUGAUCUGCUGCAUCUGCUGGAAAUGUAGAAAAACAGCCCAGACUCAAGAGGAAGACAUAACUGAUUCAGCAUUGUGUAAACCAAAAACACGAAAAACGAAAUCAAAGACUGAGGCUGUGUAUGAAAAUGUCCCCAAAAAGCGAUGAUCAAAUACUGUAUCUACUGGAAUUUUUGUUAGAGCUCAGCCAAGUCAAUACCUGAAACAUUUUUAUUCACAUUAAUUAUCUCUCAGGAUGUCACCGUUUCAUCAUUACUGUUUGUAUCAUAUAUUUUGGUGUUAUUGUGAUGUCUAAAAUAAAUUAGUGAUUUACCAAUAGCAUAGCAUCCAGAUACUCAUCCAGAUAUAAUUAUGGAAAUUAUGGAAACCUCUAUAAUAAUAGCGCUACUUUUAUGGAUAGGGGUGUUAUAAAUACAUACUGAAUGCACAAAAUUCACUUCAUGCUUGAUUAUUGUGCUGCCUCCUGGAGCCUGUUUGAACAACAAUCAACUCAGUUCAACAUAGAUUACGGUGUCUAAAAAUGGCAUAUAAGUCAAAACAGACCAUGUACACAGUGCAGCUUAAUUUGGUUGUCAGUUCAUCUUUUAGUGCUUAUUCCUCUUCUGAGGAGUACAUACAGAGUUCAGUAAUUUUAUGGGAAUAACAACUGCACUGUACAACUGAAUAAACUUCUGAAAAGUGCAGGUGACAGCCACAUUUGUAUGGAAUCGUAAUGUAUUGAUUUUGCCUUUUUUUACAUGUACAGUUUGACUCUCCCAUUAUCAUGUGAAAGAUAUUAGUGUCUUUGGUUCAUACGUUUGGUGGACUCACUCACACACAUGGCCCAUUUUAAAUGUAGCAGCUUUCAGUUUGACUCAAAAGCUGAACAUCAGUAAAACCGAUUGUGUGAGAUGGCAGGCAGUUUUAACUUCAUACUCUGG